rnacentral:rRNA from 1 species
AUUCGUUCGUAGGUAAGGUGAGGGGAGCGGCGAACGGCUGAGUAACACGUUGGUAACUGCCCCAGACUCAGGGAUAACCCGCCGAAAGGCGUGGCUAAUACCGGAUAGUCCCGAAAGGGUAAAGAUUUUUCGGUCUGGGAGGUGCCCGCGGCCUAUCAGCUUGUUGGUAAGGUAACUGCUUACCAAGGCUAUGACGGGUAGCUGGUCUGAGAGGAUGACCAGCCAGAAUGGAACUGAGACACGGUCCAU